UACAGAGGGUGCGAGCGUUAAUCGGAAUUACUGGGCGUAAAGCGCACGUAGUCGGCUUUGCAAGUCGGUUGUGAAAUCCCCGGGCUCAACCUGGGAACUGCAUCCGAGACUGCAUUGCUAGAGUAUGGGAGAGGAAAGCGGAAUUUCUGGUGUAGCAGUGAAAUGCGUAGAUAUCAGAAGGAACAUCAGUGGCGAAGGCGGCUUUCUGGACCAAUACUGACGAUCAGGUGCGAAAGCGUGGGGAGCGAUCCGG
rnacentral:rRNA from 1 species